UACGUAGGGGGCAAGCGUUGUCCGGAUUUAUUGGGCGUAAAAGGCUUGUAGGUGGCCACGCCAAGUCGGAUGUGAAAUCUCCCGGCUCAACUGGGAGGGGUCAUUCGAUACUGGCGGGCUCGAGGCCGGUAGGGGGAAGUGGAAUUCCCGGUGUAGUGGUGGAAUGCGUAGAUAUCUGGAGGAACACCGGUGGCGAAGGCGGCAUCCUGGACCGGUAUUGACGCUGAGGCGCGAAAGCUAGGGGAGCAAACGGG
rnacentral:rRNA from 1 species